UGAUGAUUUCUCUAGGACUACCUGGACACACUUACUGGGAUCUAAAAGCAAUGCCUUCUGCCUGCUUAAAUCAUUUCUAUGUAUGGUUAAAACUGAGUUUAAUGUUGUGGUUCAGAUUGUUAGAAGUGAUAAUGUUUUGGAACUGGGGUCUAGCAUUGAGGGUAUUUCUUUCUUUAGUAAUCAAGGGAUUAUUCACCAAACAACCUGUCCUCAUAGUCCCCAACAAAUUGUGGAAAGGAAACAUAUGACUCUUCUUGAGACCCGUAGAGCCUUACUUUUUCAAUCUGGCCUACCAAUCUCUUUCUGGGGAGACUACUUACUAACUGCCACCUAUCAAAAGGAAACAUAGGACUCUUUUUGAGACAUGUAGAGCCUUACUCUUUCAAUCUGGCCUACCAAUCUCUUUCUGGGGGGGACUGCUUACUAACUGCCACCUAUCUCAUUAAUAGACUACCAUCCAGAAUUCUUCAUCAUAAAUCUCCCUUUGAAGUUUUACAUGGAAAGGCACCAACCUACUCCCAUUUGAGCGCUUGUGGGUGCCUUUCAUAUGCUACUGUUCCAAUUCCUCAAAGGGACAAAUUGAAACCUAGAGCUCUUUCAUGUGUCUUCAUUGGGUAUCCUUUUGCCAAAAAAAGGUUAUAAACUUUAUGACCUUACUUCAAAGAAAUAUUUUGUUUCCAGGGAUGUUGUAUUUCAUGAAACCUCCUUUCCUUUUAAGAAUGUCUCAUCUCCUGUUCCUCUCCUCCUCCUCCUUCUGCCACCACUUAUUCUUCUUCUUCUUCUAAUCCAGCCUCCACUCUUCCUUCAAUCCCGAUAUCUCUCCUCCUAAUUUACCUUCUUCCACAUCUGCUCCUGCUCCCAGAAAAUCUGGAAGACAACAUAAUCCUCCAUCUUAUCUUAAGGACUAUGUCUGUCAACUUCCUGCCUUUACUGCUCCUCUUCUUCUUCUCUGGAAUCUGAACCUCUCUAUUACUCUCAAGCUGCAUCUGUUCCAGUAUGGCAGGAUGCCAUGAGAAAGGAGUUUGAUGCCUUAGAUGCCAACCAUACCUGGGAUGUUGUUCCUCUUCCUCCUGGUAAGAAACCCAUAGGCUGCAAAUGGAUUUAUAAGAUCAAAUAUAAGGCUGAUGGCUCUAUUGAAAUGCAUAAAUCUAGGCUUGUGAUUAGAGGUGAUACUCAAGUUGAAGGUAUUGAUUUCACUGACACUUUUUCUCCUGUGGUUAAGAGGUCCACUGUUAAGUGUCUUAUUGUUGUGGCUGUUAAGAAUAAUUGGAAUUUAUUUCAACUUGAUGUUAACAAUGCUUUCUUACAUGGUGAUUUGGAUGAGGAGGUAUAUAUGAAGCUCCCUCCAGGUUUGACUGUCUCUUCCCCUUCCUCUGCCUCUGUUUCUUCUGCCUCUGCUCCUCCUGUUUGUAAGUUGAAAAAAUCUCUCUAUGGGCUGAGACAGGCUUCCAGACAAUGGUAUGCUAAGUUGUCUUAUGCUCUAUAUUCCAGAGGCUACACUCAUUCUUUGAAUGAUUAUUCUUUAUUCAUCAAAGGUAAACCCGGUUCUCUAGUGAUUGUAGCAGUUUAUGUGGAUGACAUUAUUCUUACUAGGGAUGAUGAUGAGAUUGCUGCCCUGAAACUGUUUCUGGAUUAUCAGUUCAAGAUUAAAGACCUAGGGUCUUUACAUUAUUUUUUGGGCAUAGAGGUGUCAGUUGUUCCUGGUGGGGUGAUCCUUAAUCGGCAUAAAUAUAUUUCUG
rnacentral:lncRNA from 1 species